rnacentral:rRNA from 1 species
UACGUAGGGUGCAAGCGUUAAUCGGAAUUACUGGGCGUAAAGCGUGCGCAGGCGGUUUUGUAAGUCUGUCGUGAAAUCCCCGGGCUCAACCUGGGAAUUGCGAUGGAGACUGCAAGGCUAGAAUCUGGCAGAGGGGGGGUAGAAUUCCACGUGUAGCAGUUGAAAUGCGUAGAGAUGUGGAGGAACACCGAUGGCGAAGGCAGCCCCCUGGGUCAAGAUUGACGCUCAUGCACGAAAGCGUGGGGAGCAAACAGG